UUGUGACUUGACUUUACACGCGAUGUACAAUUAAUUUAAACCUUAUUUUGACAGUUAUAUGGUUGUAAUUACUUCAUAAAGUCUUAUCUGAGUGAGAUUUCCUGGUUUUGGCUUCAACACGGAAAAAAAAUCAUUAAGGACUUCCACCAUGAUUGAUGAACUCCUUUAAAAAACCAAGGAGACUCCGACGUCCCGCCCGGCCAGUGCUCUCCAUUGGAGUAAAUUGCGUUUGUA